GGGCCCGCACAAGCGGUGGAGCAUGUGGUUUAAUUCGAUGAUACGCGAGGAACCUUACCAGGACUUAAAUGUAAGUUGCAUGAUUCAGAAAUGAAUCUUUCUUCGGACUACUUACAAGGUGCUGCAUGGUUGUCGUCAGCUCGUGCCGUGAGGUGUCAGGUUAAGUCCUAUAACGAGCGCAACCCCUAUCGUUAGUUGCCAUCAAGUAAAGUUGGGAACUCUAGCGAAACUGCCGGUGCAAACCGUGAGGAAGGUGGGGAUGACGUCAAAUCAUCACGGCCCUUACGUUCUGGGCUACACACGUGCUACAAUGGCCGGUACAGAAAGCAGCCACUAUGCGAAUAGGAGCUAAUCUUCAAAGCCGGUCUCAGUUCGGAUCGCAGUCUGCAACUCGACUGCGUGAAGCUGGAAUCGCUAGUAAUCG
rnacentral:rRNA from 1 species